rnacentral:rRNA from 1 species
CGAUCUGGCUCAGGAUGAACGCUAGCUACAGGCUUAACACAUGCAAGUCGAGGGGCAGCAUGGGAGUUGCUUGCAAUUCCUGAUGGCGACCGGCGCACGGGUGAGUAACGCGUAUCCAACCUUCCCCUUAGUAGGGCAUAGCCCGGUGAAAAUCGGAUUAAUACCCUAUGUUCUUCACAGCAGACAUCUAACGUGAAGCAAAGGUUCACCGCUAAGGGAUGGGGAUGCGUCUGAUUAGGUAGUAGGCGGGGUAACGGCCCACCUAGCCUUCGAUCAGUAGGGGUUCUGAGAGGAAGGUCCCCCACAUUGGAACUGAGACACGGUCCAAACUCCUACGGGAGGCAGCAGUGAGGAAUAUUGGUCAAUGGGCGAGAGCCUGAACCAGCCAAGUAGCGUGCCAGGAUGACGGCCCUAUGGGUUGUAAACUGCUUUUAUAUGGGGAUAAAGUUCACCACGUGUGGUGUUUUGCAGGUACCAUAUGAAUAAGGACCGGCUAAUUCCGUGCCAGCCGCUGC